ACGGCCCAGACUCCUACGGGAGGCAGCAGUGGGGAAUUUUGGACAAUGGGCGCAAGCCUGAUCCAGCAAUGCCGCGUGAGUGAAGAAGGCCUUCGGGUUGUAAAGCUCUUUUGUCAGGGAAGAAACGGGCCGGGCUAAUACCCUGGUCUAAUGACGGUACCUGAAGAAUAAGCACCGGCUAACUACGUGCCAGCAGCCGCGGUAAUACGUAGGGUGCAAGCGUUAAUCGGAAUUACUGGGCGUAAAGCGUGCGCAGGCGGUUGUGCAAGACCGAUGUGAAAUCCGCGGGCUUAACCUGGGAAUGGCAUUGGUGACUGUACGGCUAGAGUGUGUCAGAGGGGGGUAGAAUUCCACGUGUAGCAGUGAAAUGCGUAGAGAUGUGGAGGAAUACCGAUGGCGAAGGCAGCCCCCUGGGAUAACACUGACGCUCAUGCACGAAAGCGUGGGGAGCAAACAGGAUUAGAUACCCUGGUAGUCCACGCCCUAAACGAUGUCUACUAGUUGUCGGGUCUUCAUUGACUUGGUAACGCAGCUAACGCGUGAAGUAGACCGCCUGGGGAGUACGGUCGCAAGAUUAAAACUCAAAGGAAUUGACGGAA
rnacentral:rRNA from 1 species